rnacentral:rRNA from 1 species
UACAGAGGGUGCAAGCGUUAAUCGGAAUUACUGGGCGUAAAGCGUGCGUAGACGGUUAUGUAAGUCAGAUGUGAAAGCCCCGGGCUCAACCUGGGAAUUGCAUUUGAGACUGCAUAGCUAGGGUGCGGAAGAGGGAAGCGGAAUUUCCGGUGUAGCGGUGAAAUGCGUAGAUAUCGGGAAGGAACACCAGUGGCGAAAGCGGCUUCCUGGUCCAGCACCGACGUCAGGCACGAAAGCGUGGGGAGCAAAC